UAUUCUGUGCCAUCAAAUUGGCGACACUGAGUGAAGUGGAGGGGAUUGAAGUUUACCUUCGUUAGUGCAUGCUGCGAAAUAUUCUUUUUAUAAAGAUCCACUUUGUUGAAUGGGUGUUUGAGGUUAAUUUAUCGUCAUGGUGAACGGCAGGAUACCGUCAGUAUGUUCUAAAACAUACAUAACGCCAAGGCGGCCUUAUGAAAAGGCGCGUUUGGACCAAGAAUUAAAAAUUAUUGGCGCCUUCGGGCUUCGUAACAAACGUGAAGUGUGGAGAGUAAAACUAACCCUGGCCAAAAUCCGUAAAGCUGCCCGUGAGCUGCUUACUUUGGAAGAAAAAGACCCCAAGAGGUUGUUCGAAGGCAAUGCGUUGUUGCGUCGGUUGGUGCGAAUAGGUGUGCUAGAUGAAAACAGAAUGAAGCUCGAUUAUGUCUUGGGUUUGAAAAUUGAGGAUUUCUUAGAGAGACGGCUGCAGACUCAAGUGUUCAAACUGGGACUGGCGAAAUCGAUCCAUCACGCUCGAGUGCUGAUUAGGCAAAGACAUAUCCGGUAAUGAUUUGGUGAUUUGGUUGUAAUCAUACAGGCCACUUAGUUGAACAACUAAUGCCUAGAAAUUUUUGCCUCGUUUGGUGUCCGAUUGAGACAGGGUUCGGAAGCAAGUGGUUAAUAUUCCAUCGUUCAUUGUACGAUUGGACUCGCAAAAGCACAUUGACUUCUCCCUGAAGUCGCCAUUUGGUGGUGGUAGGGCUGGACGUGUCAAGAGGAAGAACCUUCGCAAGGGAGCCAGUGGUGGCGGCGGCGAAGAAGAGGAAGAUUAAUUUAUUAUUAAUCUUGUUAAUAAAUUCUAAAAAUUAAA